rnacentral:rRNA from 1 species
GACGAACGCUGGCGGCGUGCCUAAUACAUGCAAGUCGAACGCAGUGGGGACAAGUGAGUAACAUGUUGGUAACCUCCCAUCAGAGGGGAUAACACUUGGAAACAGGUGCUAAACCGAUACUGAUGGAUGGCCCCGCGGUGCAUUAGCUAGUUGGGGAGGUAACGGCUCACCAAGGCCACGAUGCAUAGCGGCCCUGAGAGGUGGACAGCCAACACUGGAACGGAGAAACGGCCAAGACUCCUACGGGAGCAAGCAGUAGGGAAUCUGCGGAAAUGGACGAAAUUCUGACCGAGAAACGCGGCGGGAGUGAAGAAGGUUUUCGGUUCGUAAACCUCUGUUGUUAGAGAAGCGGUAUCUAACCAGAAAGCCACGGCUAACUACGUGCCAGCAGCCGCGGUAAUAC